ACACACUCUCCUCAUAAUUACAUAAUUAUCUGUUGUUAAUUAACUUUUAAUCUGAGUCCGACUUUUUCAACCCAAGAAAAGGUACAAAUACCCAUCGGCUGGAUUUGCAUAAUUAUACUAUUAAGACAUCAUUUGAGUGCUUAGACACUUGUUAUGCUCAUCACAAAACGACAGCGUAUCCUUACUACUCUCCUCCGCCAUCACCUCCGCCUCUUUCUCCUCCAACUCCGUUAACCAACCUCCGCCCGACUGCCUGAACCUUCAAGUUUGGUUAGCCAAACUCUAUCCCCACUGACCGUUUAUAGAUU
rnacentral:lncRNA from 1 species